UACGAAGGGGGCUAGCGUUGCUCGGAAUUACUGGGCGUAAAGCGCACGUAGGCGGUCUUUUAAGUCGGGGGUGAAAUCCUGGAGCUCAACUCCAGAACUGCCUUCGAUACUGGAAGACUUGAGUCCGGGAGAGGUGAGUGGAACUGCGAGUGUAGAGGUGAAAUUCGUAGAUAUUCGCAGGAACACCAGUGGCGAAGGCGGCUUACUGGUCCAUUACUGACGCUGAGGUGCGAAAGCGUGGGGAGCAAACAGG
rnacentral:rRNA from 1 species